GACGAACGCUGGCGGCGUGCUUAACACAUGCAAGUCGAACGGAAAGGCCCCGCUUGCAGGGUACUCGAGUGGCGAACGGGUGAGUAACACGUGGGUGAUCUGCCCUGCACUUCGGGAUAAGCCUGGGAAACUGGGUCUAAUACCGGAUAGGAGCCAUUUUUAGUGUGAUGGUUGGAAAGUUUUUUCGGUGUAGGAUGAGCUCGCGGCCUAUCAGCUUGUUGGUGGGGUAAUGGCCUACCAAGGCGGCGACGGGUAGCCGGCCUGAGAGGGUGGACGGCCACAUUGGGACUGAGAUACGGCCCAGACUCCUACGGGAGGCAGCAGUGGGGAAUAUUGCACAAUGGGCGCAAGCCUGAUGCAGCGACGCCGCGUGGGGGAUGACGGCCUUCGGGUUGUAAACUCCUUUCGCUAGGGACGAAGCUUUUUGUGACGGUACCUAGAUAAGAAGCACCGGCUAACUCCGUG
rnacentral:rRNA from 1 species